CCUACGGGUGGCAGCAGUAGGGAAUAUUGCACAAUGGGCGAAACCCUGAAGCAGCAACGCCGCGUGGAGGAUGAAGGUUUUCGGAUUGUAAACUCCUUUUGUUAGAGAAGAUAAUGACGGUAUCUAACGAAUAAGCACCGGCUAACUCCGUGCCAGGAGCCGCGGUCAGACGGAGGGUGCAAGCGUUACUCGGAAUCACUGGGCGGAAAGAGCGCGUAGGCGGGCUAGCAAGUCAGAUGUGAAAUCCUAUGGCUUAACCAUAGAACUGCAUUUGAAACUGUUAUUCUAGAGUAUGGGAGAGGUAUGUGGAAUUCUAGGUGUAGGGGUAAAAUCCGUAGAGAUCAAGAGGAAUACUCAUUGCGAAGGCGACCUGCUAGAACAUAACUGACGCUGAUGCGCGAAAGCGUGGGGAGCAAACAGGAUUAGAUACCCUAGUAGUC
rnacentral:rRNA from 1 species